rnacentral:rRNA from 1 species
UACGAAGGGGGCUAGCGUUGCUCGGAAUCACUGGGCGUAAAGCGCACGUAGGCGGCGGGGUAAGUCUGAUGUGAAAUCCUGGGGCUCAACCCCAGAACUGCAUUGGAUACUGCCUUGCUAGAGUACUGGAGAGGAAACUGGAAUUUACGGUGUAGCAGUGAAAAUGCGUAGAGAUCGUAAGGAAGACCAGUGGCGAAGGCGAGUUUCUGGACAGUAACUGACGCUGAGGCAACGAAGGCCAGGGGAGCAAACGGG